GCUCGCCAUGCAUAAUGCUGGAGUCCACGGGUGUAACUCGAGCUCAGCACUAAAUAUAGCCAGAGCUAUCACGGGAGGCGCCCAUACAUGUCAGCCCCGUUCAGUGUCUACAAACCGCGCCCUCAGCUGCAGACACAGGGCAGGCAUCUGCAUUGCUUUCCUGAGAGGUCAUUUUGAAAUGGAAACUGUCACUGAAAGCUGGGGUGACCUGGGUCAGCAAGAAACCAGUGCUUAUCACAGCCACACCCCUGCUUCGUCUCUGGUAUGCCCAGACGGUGCAGGGGCUGAGGGAGAAGCAAACCUCUUCUGCUCUCGCCUGCCAAAGAAAUCAAUCACACAGCCCCAGAGAGCUCAGCGUUAUAUACCAUUGUGCACUGCUGGGCAUAGAAAGCACAGCCUCUCUGCAUGAAUCUCUAGGGUUGAUUUGCUGACAAAUCAACAAUGAUGUGAGGGAGUGUGGCCAGCCUUCUUUUUCCCCUGAGGACGGCGGAGAUGCCAAGAGAUGGAGGCCAUCUUGUCUAAAAUAGGACCGUGAGGUUACUGGCUGAGUUUGGUCUAUCCUAGGUCAUGUGGAUACCCAGUUCACCUUGGAUAUCCAUCCAAAAUGCCUAAAAACAGGGUCUCUCACUGAAGCGGGACCUCCCAGUUCGGUUAGACUGGUAAGCCUCUGGGUCCUCUUGUCCAUGCCCUGGGCCUUCCCAGCUCUGGGUCUAGAAAUGUCUGCUUCCCUACUUGGUUUUUCACAUGGGUGCUGGGGGUCAAGUGAAGGUCUUCACAUUCAGGGGGCAAAUCCCCCAGUCCCCACUUGUUUGCUUUAAUAUCAACUGAUGCUUCUUGCUGGAGUUUUUUUGCCAAGAUGUUUACCAAAUGGUAAUUUUCUAAUUGUGUCACUCCCUGUAUAUUUAACAACUGGUAUUCCUAUGAAAGCACACACUGUCUCAUCUCCAUUUUAAAACUCACUUAUAAGCCAUUCACUAGUUAAUGGGUUAUAAUCCUUUAUUGCCACUUUAUUGAUACUUAAGUUGAUCUACAUUAUGACAGAGUCCCAAGCAUGUGACUAG
rnacentral:sRNA from 1 species